rnacentral:lncRNA from 1 species
AUUGUGCUGCUGGCACCAGCCCCACUGAUGCCAUGGCCACAUCACAGUGGGGCUGGUGACAUGGUGGGCCCAGGAGAGGCCUGGUAUUACACAUGGCGGUUCUCUUGUUGCCUAGCCUCAGCGCUGGACAAGGAUGUGAGCCCAUGACACGGAAACAUUCGACGGGAGAGAUCCCUGGACUCCAUGGCCACUUGCUAAGGAAGCCUCAGCGCUGGACAUGGACAGGAGCCCAUGGCACGUCAACAUUCGGCAGGAGAGAUCCCUGGACUCCAUGGCCACAUGCUGAGCAAGCCUCAGCGCUGGACAUGGACACGAGCCCACGACACGACAACAUUCUGCAGGAGAGAUCCUUGGACUCCAUGGCCACUUGCUAAGGAAGGUCAACUCCCAGUCCCUUCCCAUAUUGUGCUGCUGGCACCAGCCCCACUGAUGUCGUGGCCACAUCACAGUGGGGCUGGUGACAGAGUGGGCCCAGGAGAGGCCUGGUGUUACACAUGGGUGGUUCUUGUGUUGCCUAGCGUCAGCGCUGGACAUGGACAGGAGCCCAUGGCACGUCAACAUUCGGCAGGAGAGAUCCCUGGACUCCAUGGCCACUUGCUAAGGAAGGUCAACUCCCAGUCCCUUCCCAUAUUGUGCUGCUGGCACCAGCCCCACUGAUGCUGUGGCCACAUCACAGUGGGGCUAGGGACACGGUGGGCCCAGGAGAGGCCUGGUGUUAGACAUGGCGGUUCUCUUGUUGCCCAUACUUGUUUUCUCUGCUAGCCUCAGCGUGGACACGGACACAAGCCCAUGACACGACAACAUUCGACAGGAGAGAUCCCUGGACUCCAUGGCCACAUGCUAAGGAAGGUCAACUCCCAAUUUUCCCACAUUGUGCCGCUGGCACCAGCCCCACUGGUGUCACGGCCACAUCACAGUGGGGCUGGUGACACAGUGGGCCCAGGAGAGGCCUGAUAUUACACAUGGGCGGCUCUCUUGUUGCCUAGCCUCAGCGCUGGACAUGGACAUGAGCCCAUGACAUGACAACAUUCUGCAGGAGAGAUCCUUGGACUCCAUGGCCACAUGCUGAGGAAGGUCAACUCCCAAUCUUCCCUCAUCGUGCUGCUGGCACAGGCCCUGGUGAUGUCAGGCCACAUCACAUUGGGGCUGGGGACAGGGUGGGCCCAGGAGAGGCCUGGUAGUAGACAUGGCGGUUCUCUUGUUGCCCGUACUUGUUUCUCUGCUAGCCUCAGCGCUGGACACGGACACGAGCCCAUGACACGACAACAUUCGACAGGAGAGAUCCCUGGACUCCACGGCCACUUGCUACGGAAGGUCAACACCCAGCCCCUUCCCAUAUUGUGCCGCUGGCACCAGCCCCACUGAUGUCCCGGCCACAUCACAGUGGGGCUGGUGACACGAUGGGCCCAGGAGGGGGGUGGCACAACACACAGGGGUUCGCCUGUUAGUGCUUUUGCUUCUCUGCUAGCCUCAGCGCUGGACAUGGACAUGAGCCCAUGAUACCACGCUCCUGGCCGCCUCUCCUUGACGCACCACUGGAGACGCAGCAACAUCCUACGGGACGGUCCUACAGAGGAGCAGAUGGGGCCAUCAGCUGCGGACAAGAUUCUGCAACACCCCCACACUUGUUAUAUGAACUUGUCUAUGUGUAACCUUUUCUUAAUAAAAGAACUUUUCUUAAUAAAAUGUAAUUUGGA